UACAGAGGGUGCGAGCGUUAAUCGGAAUUACUGGGCGUAAAGCGUGCGUAGACGGCUAUCUAAGUCGGGUGUGAAAGCCCCGGGCUCAACCUGGGAAUUGCAUUCGAGACUGAAUAGCUAGGGUACGGUAGAGGGAAGUGGAAUUUCCGGUGUAGCGGUGAAAUGCGUAGAUAUCAGGAGGAACACCAAUGGCGAAGGCAGCUCGCUGGAACGGUACUGACGCUGAGGCGCGAAAGCGUGGGGAGCGAACAGG
rnacentral:rRNA from 1 species